rnacentral:tRNA from 1 species
GCGCCUGUAGCUCAGCUUGGAGAAGCUUGCGAGCACUCGCAAGCUCGUGCAAAUAGAGCGAAAGGUUCCUAACCUUUAGGCCCGGGGUUCAAAUCCUCGCAGGCGCG